GGCUGGGCCCUGCGCAACACCAACCCGUGAACCGAGUCAGGGCCGGAAGGCAGCAGCUCUCAGCGGGCCCUGGAGUGUGCCGCAGCCAGCCUGGCCGUC
rnacentral:SRP_RNA from 1 species